rnacentral:siRNA from 1 species
AGAAACCGCAACCUUCCGAGGAUC